GAUCGGCCCGCGUCUGAUUAGCUAGUUGGUGGGGUAAUGGCCUACCAAGGCGACGAUCUGUAUCUGUUCUGAGAGGAAGAUCAGCCACACUGGGACUGAGACACGGCCCAGACUCCUACGGGAGGCAGCAGUGGGGAAUCUUGGACAAUGGGCGCAAGCCUGAUCCAGCCAUGCCGCGUGAGUGAUGAAGGCCCUAGGGUUGUAAAACUCUUUCGCCGAGGACGAUAAUGACGGUACUCGUAGAAGAAGCUCCGGCUAACUUCGUGCCAGCAGCCGCGGUAAUACGAAGGGGGCUAGCGUUGUUCGGAUUUACUGGGCGUAAAGCGCAUGUAGGCGGGUCGUUAAGUUGGGGGUGAAAUCCCGAGGCUCAACCUCGGAACUGCCUUCAAAACUGGCGACCUGGAGCGUGAUAGAGGCGAGUGGAAUUGCGAGUGUAAAAGUGAAAUUCGUAGAUAUUCGCACGAACACCAGUGGCGAAAGCGACUCGCUGGAUCAUUGCUGACGCUGAAAUGCGAAAGCGUGGGGAGCAAACAAGAUUUGAUUCCCUGGUAGUCCACCCUGUAAACCAUGAGAGCUUGUUUCCCGCACCCAUGCCUUGUCGUGACCCACCUAACGCAUUUAGCCUCUCCGCCUGGGGAGG
rnacentral:rRNA from 1 species